rnacentral:ncRNA from 1 species
AACGGGUGGUAAAUUUCAUCCAAAGCAAAAUAUAUACUCGAGACCGAUAGCACAAAAGUACCGUGAGGGAAAGGUGAAAAGAACUUUGAGAAGAGGGUUAAAUAGUGCCUGAAAUCGUUGAGAAGGAAGCGGAUGCCGCCGUUGCAUAUGCUGAUUGUAGGAUUGCUGCUCGCUCCUGUCUUCUGCUACUCAUUCACAGACCUGGUCGUGUUGAGCAGUUGUUUGGCAGAUGUUAGUGGUGUUUCCUACUUUCAGUCGUCAGCAUCACUGGCUGAGUGGAAAUAAUCCUUGGAUGCUAAUUGGUUCGCUAUCUGUGAAUUGGUUGCUUCCUUGCGAUACUCACUACUCGGUCAGUGAGGAAGUGCGUUUGCUGGUCAACGAGCUUUCUAACUGUCAUUACCCUGCGCUUUUCGAUUCGUCGAGUGGCCAGGAUGUGGCUUUGAGAUUGUUCGCACUUAGUAAUCGCGAUGCUGGCUUCCAACGGUUGCCUCCGGCCCGUCUUGAAACACGGACCAAGGAGUCUAACGUAUGUGCGAGUGUGUGAGUGGCAAACUUAUACGCGUAAUGAAAGUGAGGCCGUAUGGCCAUGUUGGGGUCACCAACAACCGACCUUGAUCUUCGGUGAAAGGUUUGAGUAUGAGCAUAUCCGUUAGGACCCGAAAGAUGGUGAACUAUGCCUGAGCAGGGUGAAGCCAGGGGAAACUCUGGUGGAGGCUCGUAGCGAUACUGACGUGCAAAUCGUUCGUCAGACUUGGGUAUAGGGGCGAAAGACUAAUCGAACCAUCUAGUAGCUGGUUCCCUCCGAAGUUUCCCUCAGGAUAGCUAGAGUCUUUAUCAGUUUUGUCAGGUAAAGCGAAUGGUAAAGCGAAUGAUUAGAGGUUCCGGGGAAGUAACUUCCUCGACCUAUUCUCAAACUUUAAAUGGGCAAGAUCCAGUAGUUACUUAAUUGAACUAUUGGGGUCAAUGAGACGACUCUAAGUGGGCCAUUUUUGGUAAGCAGAACUGGCGAUGAGGGAUGAACCUAACGCUCGGUUAAGGUGCUAAACUGCUCGCUCAUCAGAUACCACAAAGGGUGUUGGUCGAUCUUACAGCAGACGGUGGUCAUGGAAGUCGAAAUCCGCUAAGAGUGUGUAACAACUCACCUGCCGAAUCGACUAGCCCCGAAAAUGGAUAGCGCUGAAGCGAGUGACCGAUACCGGGCAUUGUUGCAAGAUAAUUGGCACAAUGAGUAGGAGGCGUGGGGUUGUGAGAAGCUUGACGUGAGUCUGAUGAACAGCUUCAGUGCAGAUCU